AUUGCUUCCUGGCCUUUUGGUUAAGUGUCUGAUCUGUUCUUAUCAGUUUGAUAUCUAAUACAUCCUCUAUCUGAAGACAAUAUAGCGAAUGGAUUUUUGGAGCUAGGAGUUGGAAUAGGAGCUUGCUCCAGCCACUCUACACAUCGACCGGGUAUCGCAGUACCUCCAGGAAUUGUGCAUCAAAA